rnacentral:rRNA from 1 species
ACGUAGGGGGCGAGCGUUGUCCGAAGUUACUGGGCGUAAAGCGCGCGUAGGCGGUCAUUUAAGUUCGGGGUGAAAGGUUCAACGCUCAACGUGAACAGUGCCCUGGAUACUGGGUGACUUGAGUUCGGGAGGGGGCAGUGGAAUUCCGGGUGUAGCGGUGAAAUGCGUAGAUAUCCGGAGGAACACCGAUGGCGAAGGCAGCUGCCUGGCCUAGAACUGACGCUGAGGUGCGAAAGCGUGGGGAGCGAACGGGA